GUGCAAACUAGCUCCAGAAACUCUACCCUGCAAAAGUCACAGGGUGGUGACUACAGACCUGCUAGUCCUCUAGAAGAGUUAUAGAGGCAAGGUGAAUUAAUGCAAGAUGUUGGAGAUUCUCUGGUAGACCAGAUCGUCUACUCUAGGACCUGUUGGGGAGCUGGAAAGAAGAAAUCAAAAGAAGGAAUUCUGGAAGCUUCAGUGAGAUAACCCAAUCACAAAAAGAUAAACAUGCUAGCCAUGUUUUGGCCCCUGCUUUAGGUACAGGACACAUGGAGAAGCCAAUGGUUCAAGUGACAGAAAUAUACAAUCAAGAGGCCCCCACUUUCUCCUCUCUGUCUGCUUCCUGACCUUGCCCUCAGGCAGGAUUCUCAGACAGUCUGGAUCCAUUUAAGCCACUUUCCCCUAACUCCUCCCACUUCAGCCCCUGGAAACUGCUCACCUGCUUUGUGUGAUGCUGUGACAAAUGAAAGCAGUUUUAUUUAUGACCAGCUUGGGAGACACUGUAUCCAAUUCAAAG
rnacentral:lncRNA from 1 species